UACAGAGGGUGCGAGCGUUUAAUCGGAAUUACUGGGCGUAAAGCGUGCGUAGACGGUCAAGUAAGUCGGGUGUGAAAGCCCCGGGCUCAACCUGGGAACUGCAUCCCAAAACUGGCCAAGCUAGAGUACAGUAGAGGGUGGUGGAAUUUCCUGUGUAGCGGUGAAAUGCGUAGAUAUAGGAAGGAACACCAGUGGCGAAGGCGACCACCUGGACUGAUACUGACACUGAGGUGCGAAAGCGUGGGGAGCAAACAGG
rnacentral:rRNA from 1 species